GCCUAUGGCCAUACUACCCUGAACGCGCCCGAUCUCGUCUGAUCUCGGAAGCUAAGCAGGUCUGGUCUGGUCAGUACUUGGAUGAGAGAAAUCGGUUAUGAAAAGAAAUCCUAGUAC
rnacentral:rRNA from 1 species